rnacentral:lncRNA from 1 species
GCCCCGCGGGAGCUUCGUUCUGAGAAGAGGUCGAUGGCGCCGGAGUUUGCGGCCUCCGCGCAGCAAUGGGUCUGCCUGCCGCGGAGAUGGGUGUGUCACCGGCCUCGCUGGGCUCAGGCUCUUACGUCAUAAAACAAGAAGGUAGCUGAAUCCAGGCCAGAGAUCAAGAAGAUUUUAACUAACACUUGCUCAAGAUUCGUUCCCUAAAGUUGAGGAAACUGAGGCUUGAAGAAGUUGCACAAUUUGGCUGAAAAUCCAGUAAAUAAUAGAGUGAAGAUUGGAUCUGAGACCUUCUGAUUCCAAGAUGGAAGCUAUGAACUGGCUUUUGGAAAUGGGCAGUCAAUGUCGAACACAGUAGCAGCAUAACUGGCUUAUUCUGAUUGAUGGGCAUACCCUAUAAUGCAGAUGUGACCCACAGAGGAACUCAAGAGUCUGAAGGCUCAAAGAAAGACUCUACAGAUAUUGUUCUCCAGUCUUAAAACAAAGAUGAAAACACUCAUUGUCCAGCUCCAAGAACUCUACUAGCCAGUGGAGACAGAUGUAUACACAGGUAAAUACAAAUGCAUAAGAGACUGGUGAAGGAUUGUUCAUCUUACUUAAUAGAUGUUCAUGACUAGGUCAGGGAACAAAAUUUGCCUAAGGCAGCUCGUCUUCUAGUUUUAUCAUCAUUAAUUAAUUUUGGACCAUUUAACACAUGCAUAGAGCUGUGCUAUUUCUAGAAAUAUAUGAAAUGGGAAUAUGAUAGCCCAUCUCAGCUAAUCAGCCUCUUCUUCCUGGCUCUGGAGGUUUUAAAAACAGUGACUCAUAAAAUAUUUCCCAGGCAACCGUCUAUCCAGUCUUCCCACAAGUCUGAAUUUGUCAGCCUGUCUCGAUUUUAUCUAAGAAAUUAAAUCUCAAUUUUAGUAUUAUUAGCACUUUUACUGGCUUACCAUUUUUAAAAGAGAACAUGUAAAUUAUAAUGAAGAUAAAUAAGAAAUGAAAAGCCUUAAAUACAAUGGCAAUGAUUUUUAGUAAAUGACCAUUAACAAAGAUUUCCAGAAAUUAAUCGGCACAGAUGGGCAUGGCAAUCACUUAUGAAGGAAGUCUUCAUAGAAAUGCUUGGCUGUGAGGGUUCUAGGAAAUAUUGUCUGAUACACUGUACAACCUUUCCAAAGGAUAAUUUUUGAAUAUGAGUUAAGAAGCUUAAAGGGGUUUUCAUUUUUGAAGUAAUUAUUCCAUUUCUUGAAAUCUACAUUAAAGAAAUCAGAGGUUUACAUAUCAUUGCAAUGAUAUGUGUUAUGGCAAAUAUUCUAAACAGCCUCAAAAAUAGGGAAAAAUUUAAAAGAAUUAUUGGUAGAACCAUACUAUAGGAUACUACACAAUCAUGCAAAAUUACGUUUUCAAAAACUUCAUGUGUAUAAUGACAUAAGUAUAUGCUCUCUGUAUAGCACAAGCUGGAAAAAAAUCAAGUUACAAGAGAUAUGUACGGUUGAUUCCAAUUUAGAUAUGUUACAUAAAAGAGAUUGGAAGAAAAUACACCAAAAUAGUUUUCUCUGGCUAGUGAGAUUACAGAUGGUCUUCCCAUUCUGGAUUUUCCAAAUUUUCUACAAUCAGUUCUGUGGGGAGGAGGGGCUAUUUUUUGUAAAUGUUUGCUUUGUGCAAUAAAAGGUCAAUCCUUAUGAUUGGAAAAGGAGUGAUGUUUAGAAGUAUGGAGCAUACUGAAGGUUUCCAUGGAAAGAAUAUAAAGGACAUGCUUCAUACUUUACCUAAACAUUGUUGCAUAUUCAUCUAUGUUCCCAUCCAGGCCUUACAACAUUCUCUAUAAAGAUCUAUCACUUCUUAGGGAAAACAAAAAAGAAGCAAAACACAUUGAGUGGUUACCAUAUGCCAGGUACCUUCACAUAUAUUGUCUUAUAUGAUCCUCACAGAAAUCUAUAACAUUGACUUCUAAUACAUUUAGGCAACUUACUCAAAGUGAUAGAAAUAUUACCUUAUUAGACCCAAGAUCUGAAAUCCAAUAACAAGUUCCUACUAUAUAGCAAAGGAAGCUAUAUUCAAUAUCCUGUGAUAAACCAUACUUGAAAAGAAUAUGAAAAACAAUGUGUGUGUGUGUAUAUAUAUAUGUGUGUGUGUGUAUGUGGGUAUAUAAUUGAAUCACUUUGCUAUGCAGCAGAAAUUAACACAAUUGUAAAUCAAGUAUACUCCAAUUAAAAAAAUAAAUUACAAAAAUGAAACCCAGUCCAGUGACUCCAGGCCAAGAGUUUAUCACAACUGCCUCCUUUAUGUACAUCUGCACAACUGAAAUAUACUUAUAGGCAAAAAAGUGUCCAUGUUAUUUCAAUUACUUGUCAACUUAGAGAAUUAAGACAUUUGUAUUUUGCACUAACUUAAGUAUAUGAUUAUUUAUAUAUCCUAUAUAUUGACUACUUGCCUGUUUUUUUAAGCUCUGCUGUCUGUUACCAUCAGUAUCAAAAACAAGUUUCAGGCUGUUUUACGCAGAACAGAUACAUGGUUCUUCUCAAACAAUAAGCUUUCCCUAACAUUUUUAAAGAAUUUGUUAAAGACAAAUAAACAAAAAAUGAAAAACCUUGAGUCAUAAAUUGUGUAUUUAAAUUUGUCUUUACCGAUUCACUUCUUUAAAUUACUUUCCAAAUGACUAGAGAUAUGUGUUUAUUUUUCCUGGCAAUCCCUUAAUACACACCAUCCUACCCCUGCCCCCACACUCCCUGCCACACUAAAGAAAUCAAUCUCACUUAUCUCCAUUAAUCCUAGACUAAAACCAACUUCAAAUUUUGGUUCAACAUUCACCAACUGAAGACAGUUUUCUAGGACUGGCCCAGUUCUGCUUUGAUCAUUUACUCUGUUGCUAUUAGUGAUGUAUUUUAUAUGUCCUAAAUUAUUUAGCACUUCUCCAUGUAUGAUUUUGUGUUUGUUCUCAUUCACUUUAUUUCUACAUAUUUGCAUUCUAAGUUUCAGGAGUCCUGACCCCUUCUUUUAUAUCAUCACAGAUGCUUUGUUAAAUGUCAUGAACAUUUCUAUAUUCAUUAUGUACAUAGUGGGUGUCCAAUAAAUACUUGUUAAUUAACUGUGCCCAGCUCACUCCUACCUAUUCACCCACAAACAUAGAUUCCCAAGAAAAUCAACGAAAUGAAAAAUGAACAGGUGAAGAAGAGGACACCAUAUUUGAAUUGGCAUACAAGCCUAUUCUCUCUUUUGCUUUACUAAUUUGUCUUGGGCUAGGGAAAAGAGGUUUGGUAUAUCUCCUAGCUUUUUAAGGAAUUUCAGGAUUGCUGGCCAAUUCCAGGCUCUUCCAUUGUGAUUGAAUCUCAGUGGAAAUAUUGUGAAAGUUCAAAUUACAUUAGUUUGGUCUUUUAUGUCGAAAACUUAGUUAAGUUCAAAAACAUCACUAUGUGUUAAUUUGCCCCUGCAGCUGUUGAAAGCUUAAUAUUAAAAAAAAAAAAACUGAUCUGAUCUAAGAGCUUUUAUAUAUGAGAAUUUCUACCAAAUGUAUGACCUUACUUAAAUCAUUUAACCACUCAACAACUUGCAGUUUCUUCAUCUACAGAAUAGGGAUAAUAAUACACUGAUCAUGUCACCUGGAUGGUUGUAAGGAUCCUAUGAGAUGAUGUAUAUGAAAGCACAUUAUAAACUCUGGUGAAAUAUACAAAUAUGAACUUACAUUUUUAAUGCUGAUCUCACCAUAUACUCUUUCGGUUAUGAUUUUUAAUAUCUCUAAUUAUUUGUGAGGCUAAAGGAUAUAGUUUCCAUUAAUGCGUGAAGAUACCUCCUUGUCUGCAUUGAGAUAGUUUCCAUUUCCAUGCUUCCUGCUAGCUUUAUUGACUGAUAAUCAACACACGUCACAUGCUCUUUAGAAACAGACCUAUUUUAGUCACUGGUAUUACAAUCUGAUCCUUUGUUCCUAUGGUACAGACUGUCCCCUCAAGUACAGUAUAAAAAAAAAAAAAGGUAUAUUCAGUUAAAAUCUUUGCACAGUCUUAAGUGUACAGAUAAAGUCCAUUCUAACUGUGCAAAAUAAACUAUGUUUCUUAAACAAGAUUUCAUUCAUUUUUACCACACCCUAUCAGUUCCUCUAUCAAAACUUUGCUUUUUUAAUUGGUUCUGGAAAAAUUUCCAAAUAUGACUCUUCAAAAUGUUUAGUUAUAUGGCAUUAGAACUCCCUAUAAUAUCCUUCAGUAGUUAGAGGAAAUGGAGAGGAAAAGAAGGUAUGAAAAUCAUUACAGGUAAUAUGCCCUUCUCCUUUAAUCUCAUUGAAAUGACCCCGAAGGAGUUUCCAGGAGGAGUUCUUAACCUAGUAGAUUAAGGAUCUGACUGAAGCAGUUCGGGUCACUGUGUAGGUACGGGUUCAGAGAAGUAGGUUAAAGGAUCUGGUGUUGUCACAGCUGUGGCAUAGGUUGGAUUUGAUUCCUGGCCCAAGAAUGUCCAUACAUUACAGAUGUGGCCAUAAAAUUAAAUUAAAAAAAAAAGGACAAUUAAGUAUGUUCAAAAAAAAAAAAUGACCCAGGAAAUAAAAAUAUAUAUUUGUGAGCAAACCUACAUCAGCAAUGGGCAAAGGGACAAGCACUUACUAGCAACAUUAGAAAACAAUCUACUAGAGGUGGGCAGACUAAUCUGAGCUGAAAAAGGAACUGCUGUAUCCAAAGGGGACAUAAGUAUAGGAGACCCCAGCAGAUUCUCAAUACUAUCCCUCACAUGGAGGGACUGGAGGCAAGACUCCUAAAGUCAGGGGCAUUCUAGAAAGCCACCACAGAGACUCUGAGAAAAACAUCAGUCCCAGAGAGUAUACAGAGGGGUUUGCUCUUGACAUAUUUUUUUAACUCAAAUAUAAACACACUAUACCCAUUACUCUGCUUUGGAUAUUUUUCCAUAUCAGAAUAUAUAGAUCUACUGCUUUAUUUAUUUAUUUUUUUUUAAGGGCCACACCUGUGGCAUAUGGAGUCAAAUCAGAGCUACAGCUGUCAGUCUAUGCCGUAGCCACCACAAUGCCAGAUCUAGCUGCAUCUGCAACCUACACCAUAGCUUGGGGCAAUGCAGGAUCUUUAACCCACAGAGUGACACCAGUAUCGAACCCGCAUUCUGGAUACUAGUGGGGUUCUUCACCCGCUGAGCCAUGAUGCGAACUCUUACUGCAUUAUUUCUAAUGUUUCGGUCACAUUGCUGUAUAGCUGUAUCACAUCUGUGUAUAUUGCUGAAAGAAUAGUUAACUAAAUUCCAAAAAGUAAAUUGCUAAUCUACAGGUGUGAAAAUUUCAUUUCGAUUAAUACUAUCAAAUUGCCCCCCUUAAAAUAUCAAAGCCACCUAUCCCACCACCAAAGUAUAAAAGGAUUAGUAUGUACAAAUUCUUACCAAUUACCAUACUUUAAUUUUUUAGCUGUAAUGUUAUCUAUUUUUUGCAAUCUUUUAACUUUUUUUACCACUCUAGAGGGUAAAGGUGACAUUUCAUGUUCUUUUCAUUGUUUCUUGGGUGACUCAUGAGGUUUAGCGUUAUUUUCACACAUUUGUAAACCACUGUAUUUCUUCCUCUGUGAAAUUUUUACUCUUUCCCUUUUCUUCAUUUGGGUUGUUUUUCACUUGGGUCAGUUCUUCACUUGGGUUGUUUUUGUUUGUUUGUUUGUUCUUUUUGUCUUUGGCUUUAUAAGCAGGAGAAUAGAUAAGAGAACAGAAGCUGGAGCCAGCCCAGCUGGACUCAAACCCCAGCUCUACCACUUAGUACUCCUUUCCUCACCUAGAAAAGUAUGAUAAUGCUGGAAACUACCAUAUAGUGUUGUUUCAGGACUUUUGAAUGACUUAAAAUUAAAAAGUACUUAGAACAGUGCCAGGCACAGAGAGAUAUUCUUUUCCAUUACGGUUUAUCACAAGAUAUUGAAUUUAGUUCCCUGUGGUAUAUAGUAGGACCUAGUUUUUUUACACAUUCUAUAUGUAAUAGUUUGCUAAUCCCAAACUCCCAAUUCAUCCCCACCCUCUCCUUGGCAAUCACAAGUCUAUUCUCUACAUUUGUGAGUCUAUUAGAAAAAGAUUCUAAUAUCAUACUCAGAAAGGUAAUUCUCACUCUAAGAUUUUAAAAGUCUUCUUCCACAUGUCCUUGCAAUGAUUUUAUUUUAUUUUAUUUUAUUUUGACCUUGGGCUCUUUAAUCUAUUUGAGAUUUAUUUUUAGAAACUGGAUAAAAUAACACAAACUUUACUCUUUUCUUCAUGGAUAGCCAGUUGUCCUGCUCUUUCUUUUACUCAUUAAUUUGAAAUACUCAAAAACUGACAUCACAACUGGGAUUGCUUUGUUUCCCUAUCACCUUGGAGAGGAUUGGUAAUUUUACAACAUGAGUUGUCCUACAUUAGGACAUGGUAAUUACUCUAUUUUUUCUGGUCUUACCUUGUAUCCUCAGUUAAGGUUUUGUGGUUUUUCUUUGUAAAAAUCUUACCCAUCUCUUGCUCAUUAUAUUCUUAAGCAUGUCUUUAAUUUACCAAUUGCAUUUACUAUGUACUGAAUUACAGUAAUGUAUUUCCCAGUGUUGAAUCAUCCUCAUUGACUGUAGGAGUCUAUUCAAUGAUUUCUUAUGAAAUAUGUCAAACAUACAGAAAAAAAGCAUUACAUAUAUUUAAUUUAUAUUAUAUUUAUGUCAUAUUUAAUAGAAGACUAACAUAGUAUAAAUUAAAUACCUGUGUAUUAUUUGCCAUUGAUCUUUGUCAAAUCUAAACAUUUUGUGAUAUUUAUAUAAUUGGAGGGGGGAUGGAAAUUCAUCAAUACAGCCAGAGUCCCUAACAUACCUCUCCCAGAUUCCAUUCCCAGAUUCCAUUCCCCUUGCUCCCUACUCAGUUAUAACCAUUAUCCUGAAUUAAAGGUUUAUCAUUACCAUGGAUGUGUUUUUAAUAUUAGUACAUAUAAAUAACUCAUAAUUUAUACCAUGUAGUAUUUUUCAACCUGUACGUGAAUUGCAUGAUACUGUAUUUUCAUUCUGCAGCUUGGUUUUGUUUUUGUUUUUUGACUCAAAAAAAAAAUUUUUUUUUUUCUUGUCUUUUAUUAGAGCCACACCAGCGGCAUGUGGAGGUUCCCAGCUUAGGGGUCUAAUCGAAGCUGUAGCCGCUGGCCUACACCACAGCCAUAGCAAUUUUACCAGGUCCAAACCACGUCUGUGACCUACACCACAGCUCAUGGCAAGGCCGGAUCCUUAACCCACUGAGUGAUGCCAGGGAUCGAACUCGCAAACUCAUGGUUCCUAAUUGGAUUCGUUUCUGCUGCGCCACGACGGGAAUUCCGAAAAAUUUUUUUAAUUAUUGAUGCCUGUAGUUCUAGCUUAUUCGACAGAGGUGUGGUACUCCAGUUUAUGAAUAUAUUUCCAUUUGUUCAUUCUUCCGCUGACCGACAUACAGGGUGUUUCCAAUGCUUUCCUAAUGUAUGUGGCGCUAUGAUGAAUACUCAUGUGCAUGUAGAUUUUCCCCAGAGCUGUACUACCCAAUACUUUAGCCACUUCUCUAAAUAGCUUGUUCGUAUCUUUGCCCACUUUUCUGUCAGACUUGUUUCUCCUUUUCUUUUAUAUUUGUAGUAGCAAUUUAUACAUUUAGAAUAUUUGUAUAUUAUAUUAGUUACAUGUGGUAUAAAUAUUUUCUCCCAUUCUGAACUUUUCUUUCAACUUUGAUUAUGGUGUCUUUUGUUAAGCAGGGGUUUUUUGUUUCAUCAAUCUUUGCCUUUUUGAUGUAUGCUUUUGGCUGUCUUAUUCAACAAAUCCUUCCCUAUCCCAAGAUCAAAAACAUAUCUCUUACAUUUUCUCCUAAAAUGCCUAAAAUGUUAAAGGCUUUUUAUGUUUAGGUUUUAAUCCCCCUGGAAUGAACACUUAAGUGUAUGGUAUGAGAAUUUUAUUUUCUGUGUGGAUAGCCAUCUGUUCCAUGAUAAUAUUUUGAAUAGUUUGUCCUGUUUCCAAUUAUUUGUAAUAUAUCAUAUACCAUAUCUUUCUCUAUAUAUGGUUCUUUUCUAGGCUUUCUAUUCUGUUACAUAUAUGUGUAGUUGACCCUCUAUAUCCAUGAGUUCCACAUCCAGGGAGUAAACCAACUGGAUCAGGAGUUCCCAUCAUGGAGCAGUGGAAACGAAUCCAACUAGGAACCACAAAACUGUGGGUUUGAUCCCUGGCCUCGCUCAGUGGGUUAAGGAUCUGGCAUUGCCGUGAGCUGUGCUGUAGGUUGCAGACACAGCUCAGAUCUGAUGUUGCUAUGGCUGUGGUAUAGGCUGACAGCUGUAGCUCUGAUUUGACCCCUAGCCUGAGAACUUCCAUAUGCCGGGAGUG